AUUGAACGCUGGCGGCAGGCCUAACACAUGCAAGUCGAGCGGAGCGGCGGACGGGGGAGUGAUGCCUAGGAAUCUGCCUGGUAGUGGGGGAUAACGACCGGAAACGGGCGCUGAUACCGCAUCCUAGCAGAUGAGGCUAUGUCGGAUUAGCUAGUUGGUGGGGUAAAGGCAUACCAAGGCGACGAUCCGUAACUGGUCUGAGAGGAUGAUCAGCCACACUGGAACUGAGACACGGCCCAGACUCCUACGGGAGGCAGCAGUGGGGAAUAUUGGACAAUGGGCGAAAGCCUGAUCCAGCCAUGCCGCGUGUAUGAAGAAGGUCUUCGGAUUGUAAAGUACUUUAAGUUGGGAGGCGUUACCAACAGAAUAAGCACCGGCUAACUCCGUGCCAGCAGCCGCGGUAAUAC
rnacentral:rRNA from 1 species